rnacentral:rRNA from 1 species
CUGAACCAGCCAAGUAGCGUGAAGGAUGACUGCCCUAUGGGUUGUAAACUUCUUUUAUAAAGGAAUAAAGUCGGGUAUGUAUACCCGUUUGCAUGUACUUUAUGAAUAAGGAUCGGCUAACUCCGUGCCAGCAGCCCCGGUAAUACGGAGGAUCCGAGCGUUAUCCGGAUUUAUUGGGUUUAAAGGGAGCGUAGAUGGAUGUUUAAGUCAGUUGUGAAAGUUUGCGG